rnacentral:antisense_RNA from 1 species
GAGUGCACCUGGCCUGAGAGCCCGCCAGGCCCUGCCCCUGCUCAGCUCCUCGUCUGCUGAAGCUCGGGACCUCUAGCCAGUGGCCCUCUGCAGCCACGGGGAAUGGGGCUGAGAGCCGGUUCCCGCUGCAGGGCAGAGCACCUAGCUCAGCCGCAGCCACAGGGACAUCUGGCCCCAGUUCUGAGAUGUGGGGAGUGCUGGCGGGCUCGGGGGUUGCCUGGAGGCUGCUGCCUGCACACAGAAGGCGGAUGCAGCUUGGGUGCCCAGGCGGGCUGGAGGACAGCGGGCUGGGAAGCCAGGGGCCGCCGGGACCUGGGGCUGGAAACCACAUCUGCCCACAGCCGCAGCCUCCUGCACCUGUCAUCCUGGCGGCGCCCUGACGUCGGAGAAGCAGCAGGCGCGGAGCUCCUGCAGCGGGCACCGCUGCAGCAACCCGACCCGGCGUAGGCGGCAGUGGAAGGCGGCCUGCUAGCACGGCUCCCGCGGCCCCAGGACCAGGGGUGCGGCCAGCACCGCCCUCACUCCCCGCGUCUCGUGGAUAUUGCCCUCCCUGGAGGCGGCUGGACCUAAGCGAGGCUCGCAGCGAUCGGCCCCGCGAAGACUCGCAUGCAGGGCUCAGGAUCCCGCAUUCUGGCGCCGCGGCACCGCACCUUUCAGCAGCCCUGCUCCUCUUCUUGUUGGUAAACUUUUGUCACUCUGCCAUGAAAAGCAUCCAGGCGUCCUUGAUUUCGACAUUGCAUGCACGCUCAGCCGAGCUCAUCAGACGGGCGGUUGUCCCCAGAGCCCGCGGGUAGCUUGUUCCUGGGCGGCGGCUCCUCCUGGAUGCAGCUCCUUGUGGGCCUACCAGGCUUGGUGGAGCCAAGGCCCGCCGUGGCCGGCAGACCUGUGGAGAGGAAGAGUAAGGCGGGCUCUGCAGGGCAGUGGGCCGGGACCAUGAGAGAGGCGGGUCAGUCUGGGCUCCAAGCUCAGCCUCUCGGAUUCCCCGGGACCCACGGCUUAUAAUGCGCUUAAAUCCCACGCCUCGCCCGAGAGACAGCACGUCACCGUCACCGCCUAGCGCCCCUGACCCGCUCCCACUCCGCUGCAGCGGAGGGUGUGUGAGGGAGAGGGACGCAGGGAGGGAAAAGCGUUGGGAGGGCAAACAUCUUUUCAUAAGCUUUUCCCCUUCUAUUAUGCCAUCUCUGAUGGGAGCCUCUUUAGAUCUUUCGUCCAUUUACUAAUUGGGUUGUUCGAUUUCUUAUUGUUGAGUUGUAAGUGGUUUUUAAUGGUCUGGAUGCCAGACAGGUGUUUUGCAAAUAUUUUCUCCGUCUGUGGCUUGUUUCUCCAUUCUCUUAUUUCCUUUCCCAGAGCAAAAGUUUUUAAUUGUAACGACUUCAUACCAAUAUCUUCUUUCAUGGUAGAAAUUUGUCUUUUAUGUACUUUAGUGUUGUAUCUACAAAGUAAUUGCCAAACCCAAAGUUACCUAAAUAUCCCUUUUGUUAUUUUACAGAAGUUUUACAGCUUUUGGAUUUAAAUUUAGGUCUAAAAAUUGAAUUCAUAAAAGUAGAGAGUAUAAUGAUGCUUACCAGAGGCUGUGUUGCUGGGGAGAAAAAUGGGAAGUUGUUCACAGAUGCAAAGAUUCAGUUAAACCAGAGAAAUGCGUUUUGAAAUCUAUUGCACAGCAGGAUGACUAUAGUCAAUAAUAAUGUACUGUAUAUUUAAAUAACAAAAAGUAAAUUUCAAAUAUCUAACCACAAAAAAUAAAAUUGAGGUGAUGGGUAUUUUUUAUUUUAUUUAUUUAUUUGUUUAUUUAUUUAUUUUUUUUGAGACAGAGUCUCGCUCUUUCGCCCAGGCCGGACUGCAGUGGCAGGGUCUCGGCCCACUGCAAGCUCCGCCUCCCGGGUUCACGCCAUGAGGUGAUGGAUAUUUUAUCCUCGAUGUAGUCAUUCCUCAUUUUAUACACAUAUCCAAGCAUCACAUUGUACCCCAUAAAUGUAUGCAAUUGUGGUUUGACAAUUUAAAAUAUUAUUAACUUAAAAAUGUGUCGUUCGAGUUAAUUUUUGAGGAGCAAGGUCUGUGUCUCAAUUCUUUUUUUUUGCAUAUAUGUAUAUAUACAUACACGCAAUGGAUUCAUCACUGUUUUUGAAAAAGCUACCCUUUCUCCCUUGAAUUGCCUUUACCUUUUUGUAAAAGAUCAAUUGACUGUGUUUGUGCACUCCUAUUUCUGAGUUCUCUAUUCUGUUCCAUUGAUCACUUUGCAAGUCCUUGAACUUUGUUCCUCCCCCACAAUAUUGUUGGCUAUUCUUGUUAGUUUGUCUUUCUAUAUAAACUUUAGAAUUAGUUUGUCAAUUUCCACACAAUAAUUUAUUCAUGUUUUCACGAGAGUUGUAAUGAAUUUGUAAAUCACAUUGAAGAGAACUGACAUCUUAACAACACUGGGUCUUAUUUUGUGAAUACAGAUGUCCCUUCAUUUAUUUAGAUCUUUAAUCCCUUUCAACAGAUUUUAUAGUUUUUCUCACAUAGACCCUGCCCAUAUUUUGCUAGAUUGUGUCUAUUUCAUUUUCUUGAUGCUAAUGAAAAUGGUAUUGGGCUUUUAAUUUCAAAUUCUCGUUGUUCAUUGCUGGAUGUAGGACAGCAAUUGAUUUUGUAUAUUAACCUUAUACCGUGCAACCUUGCUAUAAUCCAGAAGGGUUUUUGGCUGACGCUUUAAGAUUCUCUACAUAAAAAAUCAAGUUAUCAGCAAGCAAAGGGCAUUUUAAUGCUCCCUUUCCAAUCUGUAUACCUUUUAUUUUAUUUUCUUGUCUUAUUGCAUUAGCUAGGAUUUUAGUAUGAUGUUGAAUAGGAGCAGUGAGAGGGGAUAACAUUUCCUUGCUUCUUUUGUGUAAAACAUCCCAUUUUUCACAUUAUGUAUGAUAUUGUCUGUAGGGUGUUCUUUUGGUAUAUGUUCUUUAUCAGUUGAGGAAUUUCCCUUCUAUUUCUAAUUUGCUGAGAGUUUUAACCAUGAAUGGGCUUUGGAUUCCGUAAAAUGCUUUCUUGAUCUAUUAAUAUAAUCAAAUAACUUUUCUUCUUUAGCUAGUUAUCUGAGGGAUUGCCUUAACUAUUUUGUGUUAAGCCAGGCUUGCAUACCUGGAAUAAAUCUCACUUGGUCUUGAUGUGUAAUUCAACAAUGUAUUGCUAGAUUCAGCAUGCUAAUAUUUUGUUGAGAAUUUUUGAUGAGAGACAUUUGUCUGAACAUUUUUCUUUAAAUGUCUUUUUCUGCUUUUGGUAUUAGAACUUCAUAAAAUGAGUUGGGAUAUGUUCCUUUUGCUUCUGUUUUCUGGUAGCAAUUGCAAAUAAUUGGUAUCUUUUCCUCCUUAAAUGUUUCAUACAAUUCGCUAGUGAAACAAUCUAGGCCUGUUGCUUUCUUUCUUGGAAGGUUGUUAAUUAUUCAUAUAUUUCUAUACUAGAUAAAGAGUUAUUUGAAUUA